rnacentral:rRNA from 1 species
UUGGAGGGCAAGUCUGGUGCCAGCAGCCGCGGUAAUUCCAGCUCCAAUAGCGUAUAUUAAAGUUGUUGCAGUUAAAAAGCUCGUAGUUGAAUUUCGGGGUUAGUAGGUUGGUCAUGCCUCUGGUAUGUACUGGUCUCACUGAUUCCUCCUUCCUGAUGAGCCGUAAUGCCAUUAAUUUGGUGUUGCGAGGAAUCUGGACUGUUACUUUGAAAAAAUUAGAGUGUUUAAAGCAGGCUAACGCUUGAAUACAUUAGCAUGGAAUAAUGAAAUAGGACGUUCGAUCCUAUUUUGUUGGUUUCUAGGAUUGACGUAAUGAUUAAUAGGGAUAGUUGGGGGCGUUAGUAUUCAAUUGUCAGAGGUGAAAUUCUUGGAUUUAUUGAAGACUAACUACUGCGAAAGCAUUUGCCAAGGAUGUUUUCAUUAAUCAGGAACGAAAGUUAGGGGAUCGAAGACGAUCAGAUACCGUCGUAGUCUUAACCAUAAACUAUGCCGACUAGGGAUCGGAUGAUGUUAAUUUUUUAAUGACUCAUUCGGCGCCUUACGGGAAAC